rnacentral:rRNA from 1 species
GACGGAGGGGGCAAGCGUUGCUCGGAAUCACUGGGCGUAAAGGGCGCGUAGGCGGGAUGGCAAGUCGGUCGUGAAAUCCCUGGGCUCAACUCAGGGGGGUCGGCCGAUACUGCCGUUCUUGGGGGAUGCAGAGGAGACUGGAAUUCCCGGUGUAGCGGUGAAAUGUGUAGAGAUCGGGAGGAACACCGGUGGCGAAGGCGGGUCUCUGGGCAUUCCCUGACGCUGAGGCGCGAAAGCGUGGGGAGCAAACGGG